AUGGUAAAUGCCUCUUAUUUAGGUGUAUGCUCUGGCGUGCCGGAAAACAGGUGUGUUUUGACCGUAACAACGUAAGGUAGGAGUUUUUUUUAUAUUUUCCGGUUGGAGGGAAUUUUAGGCUUUGUUUAAAUAUAUUUGGGAUUUCAUUUGUAGAUUGGAGCAGGAA